UUACAAUUUCAUAAGCACAAAAAGCUAUUUACUUAAUGUAAAGAGAGGCUCCAGUCUAUAAAUUAUAAAGUGAUAAGAUUUUUUUUACGAUAAGUUAUAAAAUCAUUUUUAACAUGCAAAAGUGGGGAACUAUGACUGAAAUUGUGAAGUUUGUUUAUGUUAUUAUUAUCUUUCUUUCCAUUUUUUUUGUUACAAAGAACAUCAACGGUAAGCCAUUAUAAUAAUUUUCUAAUUUCCUUCGUAAUUACGUACAAUAUUUUAUUACAUUUUAGUUUUAUAUUCUUUUAUUUUCUUUUUUCAUUACAGCGCUUAAUAUGUGCUCUCAAGCUUAUGAUUGUCCGCGAGAUAUGUGCGAGGCUCCUUUCGAAGUGAUAUGUUUUGCUGGAGAGUGUCAUUGUUUUAAAGAUAUUUUUAAUUAGUUUAUUUGCCCACAUUAAUUUGUAUUUAGUUUCUGUUGAGUAUGGUUCAUAUAUGCAGGGGUAUUUACGACAUUCUAUUAUUAUUAUAUAUACCGCUUGUAACACUGAAACCCUAAUUCAUUCUUUCAUCUAAUAGANNN
rnacentral:lncRNA from 1 species